rnacentral:rRNA from 1 species
CGCUGAGCACCGAAAGCGUGGGGAGCAAACAGAUUAGAUACCCUGGUAGUCCCGCCGUAAACGAUGAGUAUUAAGUGUCGGGUUAACCCCGGUACUGAAGUUAACACAUUAAGUACUCCGCCUGAGUAGUACGUACGCAAGUAUGAAAACUUAAAGGAAUUAACGGGACUCCGCACAAGCGGUGGAUCAUGUUGUUUAAUUCGAAGAUACCCGAAAAACUUACCAGGUCUUGACAUGUUUUUGCAAAAUGAUAGUAUAUCGUGGAGGUUACCAGAAACACAGGUGGUGCAUGGUUGUCGUCAGCUCGUGUCGUGAGAUGUUAAGGCUAAGUCCUAAAACGAAGCGAAACCCUUAUCGUUAGUUGCCAGGCACGUUAUGGUGGGGACUUUAACGAGACUGCCAAUGAUAAAUUGGAGGAAGGUGAGGAUCACGUCAAAUCAGCAUGCCCCUUAUGACCUGGGGCUACAAACAUGAUACAAUGGCUGUUAAAAAGGGUAGCUGAAACGCAAGUUCUUGGCCAAUCCCCAAAAACAGUCCCAGUCCGGAUUGAAGUCUGCAACUCGACUUCAUGAAGUUGGAAUCGCUAGUAAUCGCGAAUCAACAUGUCGCGGUGAAUACGUUCUCGGGGUUUGUACACACCGCCGUCAAACCACGAAAGUUGGCAAUACCCCAAAACGGUAGCCGGAGCCGUUUAAGGUAGAGGGGGUGAUGAUGGUUAGGGUUAAGGAAU